rnacentral:rRNA from 1 species
GUGACCUCAAAUCAGGUAGGACUACCCGCUGAACUUAAGCAUAUCAAUAAGCGGAGGAAAAGAAACUAACAAGGAUUCCCCUAGUAACUGCGAGUGAAGCGGGAAAAGCUCAAAUUUAAAAUCUGGCAGUCUUUGGCUGUCCGAGUUGUAAUCUAGAGAAGUGUUAUCCGCGCUGGACCGUGUACAAGUCUCCUGGAAUGGAGCGUCAUACUUUGACACGGACUA